rnacentral:rRNA from 1 species
UACGUAGGAUGCAAGCGUUGUCCGGAAUUAUUGGGCGUAAAGAGCGCGCAGGCGGUCUAUCAAGUCAGAUGUGAAAUAUCCGGGCUUAACCCGGAGGGGUCAUUUGAAACUGGUAGACUAGAGUACAGCAGAGGAUAGCGGAAUUCCCGGUGUAGUGGUGAAAUGCGUAGAUAUCGAGAAGAACACCGGUGGCGAAGGCGGCCAUCUGGACGGUGACUGACGCUGAGACGCGAAAGCGUGGGGAGCAAACAGG